CAGGCCAGACCAGGCACACCCUCCUUCCUUGGCUAGCACCCUGACCCUUCUUCCCCACCCAACCCUGCCAUUGUCCCUCUUUCUACAAGGCACAGGGAACAGAUUAGUCAUAUGACAAGGAGAAAGCAUUAUUUGCGAUUUAGGAUAGUUUAGUCUGAGAAGCGUAGAAAGUCUAAGUCCAAAGGGGAGACUGGAAGGUUGGUUGUGGGGAGGCUCUGCAGGCAGGGGCAAUGAGAGGAUGCGCAAAGGCAACUGGGUCCCCUCACCCCCAUGUGCCACGGAAGUUAGCGAAGCUUAGCAAGUCUCUGCCAGCACAGGUUGCAGAGUCGGAUCUGAACUCCCUCUAGUGUGUGACCUAGGGCACAAGCAUUAACAAUACAGUGUACAAUGAAGAGAAUACACUCACCUAGAAAGCUGUUCAUCACCGUCACCGGGAGCAUGGAGGCCAGUACCCGAGCUCAUCACCAGGGAAGCAGCAGAUGGGAGGUAGAACUUCUAGGGAGGCACCAGGUGCCCACCGGGCUCACAGGCUUGCAGUUAACUUGGACAAGUCAUAGCCCCAUCACAUGUCAGGCAGUGCAGGGUGUGCCGAGAAGACCCAGCCCAGCCACUGAGGAGAGGAUGGGAAGUGACUCGGAGGAGGUUAGAUGUCUGCAAGCCAUGAAAGGCAUCAUCUCCCCUCUUGCUCUGUGAUGUUUCAGUCCUGGGACCCCGAGCACCAUGUCUCUGAGCAGUGCCUUCCGGGCUGUGGGCAAUGACCCUGGGAUCAUCACCUGGAGGAUAGAGAACAUGGAGCUGGCGCUGGUGCCCCUGAAUGCCCAUGGCAACUUCUAUGAGGGGGACUGCUACGUCAUCCUCUCGACCCGGAGGGCAGGAAGUCUCCUCUCUCAAGACAUCCACUACUGGAUCGGGAAGGAGUCCUCUCAGGACGAGCAAAGCUGUGCAGCCAUCUACACCACCCAACUGGAUGACUACCUGGGAGGCAGUCCCGUGCAGCACCGAGAGGUCCAGGACCAUGAGUCUGACACCUUCCGCGGCUACUUCAAGCAGGGAAUCAUCUACAAGAAGGGGGGUGUGGCCACCGGGAUGAAGCAUGUGGAAACCAACACCUACGCGGUCAAGCGGCUACUCCAUGUGAAGGGGAAGAGAAACAUCAGGGCCACUGAGGUAAGUGCUGGUCCAGGGCCUCCCCAUCUAGCACCCAAGAAGCCCUCCCGACCCACACCCGGCUCUCAUCGGCAGGUGGAAAUGAGCUGGGACAGUUUCAACCAGGGGGAUGUCUUCUUGUUGGACCUUGGAAAGGCCAUCAUCCAAUGGAAUGGCCCAGAGAGCAACAGUGGGGAGCGCCUGAAGGCUAUGCUUCUGGCAAAAGACAUUCGAGACAGGGAGCGAGGGGGCCGUGCUGAAAUAGGAGUGAUCGAGGGAGACAGGGAGGCGGCCAGCCCGGAGCUGCUGAAGGUCCUUCAGGACACCCUUGGCAGACGCUCCAUCAUCAAGCCUGCAAUCGCCGAUGAGAUCAUAGAUCAGCAGCAGAAAUCAAACAUCAUGCUGUACCAUGUCUCAGAUGCAGAUGGGCAGCUGGCGGUCACAGAAGUCGCCACAAAGCCUCUGGUCCAAGACUUACUGAGCCAUGAUGACUGCUAUAUCCUGGACCAAAGUGGAACCAAGAUCUACGUGUGGAAAGGAAAAGGAGCCAGCAAGGUUGAGAAACAGAUGGCCAUGUCUAAAGCCCUGAGCUUCAUCAAGAUGAAGGGCUACCCCAGCAGCACCAACAUAGAGACGGUCAACGACGGUGCCGAAUCCGCCAUGUUCAAGCAGCUCUUCCAGAAGUGGGCAGUGAAGGACCAGACCACAGGCCUAGGGAAAACAUUCAGCAUUGGGAAGAUUGGUGAGCCCCAUCACCCUCACUGCCAGGAAUCUCUACAGCAGCAGGCAUGGCUGCUGCAUCUUAUUCACGUGGCUUUUCCCAACCCCUUCCCUGCAGCUAAAGUCAUCCAAGACAAGUUUGAUGUGACUGCACUGCACAACAAGCCCGAGGCAGCUGCCCAGGAAAGAAUGGUUGAUGAUGGCAAUGGGGAAGUCGAGGUCUGGAGAAUUGAAAACCUAGAGCUGGUCCCUGUGGAGCCUCAGUGGUACGGCUUCUUUUACGGGGGAGACUGCUAUCUGAUUCUCUACACAUACAAGGUUAACGGAAAGCCAAACUACAUCUUAUACAUCUGGCAGGGCCGCCACGCUUCCCAGGAUGAGCUAGCAGCCUCAGCAUACCAGGCAGUGGAGGUCGAUGGGCAGUUUGAUGGCACCCCAGUGCAGGUUCGGGUCACCAUGGGAAAGGAGCCACGCCACUUCAUGGCCAUCUUCAAAGGGAAGCUGAUUAUCUUUGAGGGUGGAACUUCCAGGAAGGGAAAUGUGGAGCCGGACCCUCCAGUCAGGCUCUUCCAAAUUCAGGGAAACGACAAAUCUAACACCAAAGCAGUGGAGGUUCCAGCCUUCGCCUCUUCAUUAAACUCCAACGACGUCUUCCUGCUGCGCAGCCAGACAGAGCACUACCUGUGGUACGGCAAGGGGUCGAGCGGGGAUGAACGGGCCAUGGCUAAGGAGCUGGCAGGGCUCCUCUGUGACGGCGCUGAGGACACGGUGGCCGAGGGCCAGGAGCCAGCUGAGUUCUGGGACCUGCUAGGAGGGAAAACUCCCUAUGCCAAUGACAAAAGACUACAGCAGGAAACCCUGGAUGUCCAGCCACGCCUCUUUGAGUGCUCCAAUAAGACUGGUCGGUUCAUUGUCACUGAGAUCACAGACUUCACCCAGGAUGACCUGAACCCCGGGGAUGUGAUGCUCCUGGAUACCUGGGAUGAGGUAUUCUUGUGGAUUGGGGCUGAGGCAAAUGCCACAGAGAAGGAGAAAGCCCUUGCUACCGCCCAGGAGUACCUGAACACCCAUCCCAGCGGCAGAGACGUCAACACCCCAAUCCUAAUCAUUAAACAGGGCUUUGAGCCGCCCAUCUUCACAGGCUGGUUCCUGGCCUGGGACCCUCACAUUUGGAGCGCAGGAAAAUCUUAUGAACAGUUAAAGGAAGAGCUGGCGGAUACUGCUGCCAUCAUGAGAAUCACAGCUGUGAGUUGGUGCUAGGGACUGAACUGUGUGUGUGUCCCCCAUCCCCACCACACUAUAAAUCCUAACCUCUCUGCCUAGUUAUAAUCCCACUUGGAAAUGAGCUUUCUUUGAGAUGUGAGUGAGCCAGGGUUCGUGUAAGGGGUAUCCUGAUCUCUUUGGAGAUAGAAGAGCUAUUAACUGUGUCAGCCAGCAAAGGGGGCAGGGAGAUGUGAAGCCACAUGAAGAUGGCCCAAGAGCCAAGUGAGAGAGAAAACCUGCCCCGAGAGCCAGCCCUCCAACCUCGUCAACUGUGCGAGAAUACGUGUCUCUGUUAAAGCCACUGCUCCUGUUUCUGUUACAGCAGCUUGCUCCUAAAGCAAGUAACACAGGCAACCAAAGCCAAUGACAGCAAUGCCACAUAGACAAAACCCUGACAUGUCCCUUUUAGAAUUAUUUAAUCGUCUAUUUUGAUUUUUUUUUUUUCCCCCAAAUCAGUGGAAAAAGCAGGCCUCAGAGCCAAGUUCUGUGUCUGAUUACCUCCCGGAAUUUAAAAGACAUGCCAUUCAAAUUCACUGUCAGUAUUGGUUUUCAGAAGUAAUAAGCUUCUAACACAAAUGACAGUUGCAUCAGUGCCUGCUGCCAGUGAAGUGCACAGAAAUUAAGUCAUCUUGUCCCUAGUUCAUGGCUGAGGGACACAGGGUCUCAGCCAGGAACCCUCAAGCUCUUUAACAUCAAGGACAUGAGCAACACGGC